UGGCGAUGGGUCUUCCCGG
rnacentral:snRNA from 1 species